UCUGGGAUAGCCACCGGAAACGGUGAUUAAUACCGGAUAUGACACUUCACCGCAUGGUGUGGGUGUGGAAAGUUUUUCGGCCAGGGAUGUGCUCGCGGCCUAUCAGCUUGUUGGUGGGGUAAUGGCCUACCAAGGCUUCGACGGGUAGCCGGCCUGAGAGGGUGACCGGCCACACUGGGACUGAGACACGGCCCAGACUCCUACGGGAGGCAGCAGUGGGGAAUAUUGGACAAUGGGCGGAAGCCUGAUCCAGCAACGCCGCGUGAGGGAUGACGGCCUUCGGGUUGUAAACCUCUUUCAGCACAGACGAAGCGCAAGUGACGGUAUGUGCAGAAGAAGGACCGGCCAACUACGUGCCAGCAGCCGCGGUAAUACGUAGGGUCCGAGCGUUGUCCGGAAUUAUUGGGCGUAAAGGGCUCGUAGGCGGUUUGUCGCGUCGGGAGUGAAAACCAGGUGCUUAACACCUGGCCUGCUUUCGAUACGGGCAGACUAGAGGCAUUCAGGGGAGAACGGAAUUCCUGGUGUAGCGGUGAAAUGCGCAGAUAUCAGGAGGAACACCGGUGGCGAAGGCGGUUCUCUGGGAAUGUCCUGACGCUG
rnacentral:rRNA from 1 species